rnacentral:lncRNA from 1 species
UUGGAUGGUUGGCCUCUUGGUUACAAGCAUGUACAUUAUGGCUCUCUCCUUGCCUGGAACUGGAUAUGAGAAAUGCUUGAAUUAAGAUCUGUGAAUUAUCUUAUUUUCUUGUCAGAAGGAUGCAGAUUGCCCAUACUUCAUAGCAGAGCAACAGGAGGGACUUAGGGACAAAAAGCUCAAAGGCAAGGAAGACUGAGGAAGCUAAGUUACUGGCCAUAUGUUUAAUAAAUAUAAGCUUAAUGGCAGUGAAUGUAUUAAUGUCAGCGAAGACAAGUCUAUGAAGUUAAACAGGCACAGAGAGGCUAAGAGUCUUGCCAAAGGCCACAGAGGAAGGAAGAGACUAAAUCUGGAACAAACUUUCUAUUCUCCAUUUCCAGAAGAAACCACUAAACCAUGCUUCCUCUUGUCAUGGAAGCUUAAAAUAUUUGGACUGUCUGUGGAUCCAGGGAGGAAUUUCAGAAGAGCCAGGAUUAGUCAAUCAAAUUAAACUCAAUAUCACCCAAAUAAAGUUGGUCAGAUCAAACUACGUUUAAAUAAGAAUUAAAAUGCCAUUUGUCCAUCACCUAAUGGCUCAAUUUGCUCCUGCCUUGGGUGUGCACACCCUGCUCUGGAACAGACCAGAGCUCUAAAGAAGUGACUGGAAGUUGUGAAUGUCAUUGUUAUGAAGCUUCAAAUUUGCUCUCCUCUUUAGGACACAGACAUGGCAUUAGAGAAGGGCAGAAAACUGCACUUGGCUGUGCAUAGAGAACACUAGAGACCUCUUGUGCAAGAGAGGGGACUAGGUUGCGUAGUGUAAUGAGAGAAGCAUGGGUUUUGAGACCGCUACAAUGUCUGUGUCUUCUUGGCCAACAUUUCAGUAAGAGUAGUAAGCAUAUCUCCACAAUAGGGUUAAGAGAACCAGUGUCUUCUGAAAAACACAUGAAAUCAUCGUAACCCUGCUAAGUCUGUGCUUUGCAAAAAUUAAAACUAAAACUAAUUUUCAAAAAAAAAAAAAAA